ACAACGCACUAGGGGUGCUAAUUAGCUGAGAUGUGAAUUUUUGUUCCGAUCCCUUAUAACCCGAUCUAGAUAAUACUAGCGUGGGGAAGUGUAGCAAUAUACGA
rnacentral:ncRNA from 2 species